rnacentral:misc_RNA from 1 species
AAUUUAUCGUAAUUCUCUGUAAAGAGCUGCUCCUGUUUUAAAACACCUGCAUUUCUCUCUCUCUCUCCAUACAGUUCACUAUAUACAAGCUAUAAUAGACUUUCACCACUUCUUCUGCCUUCCCCUGCCCCCACAUUGCUCCAGCAUAAAAGUUUAGGCUCUGGCAUGACCUAUUUCAGGCCAAUCUUACUCAAAAAGAUCUGCCACAACUAACCUGUCAUUUUACAGUGCAAAAGCAAAUGGCUAUAAUUUUCUACAUUCUCCUGAAUAGGAAGCAUCUUGAGCUUAACCGGAUUCCCCUUCUUGGCAGAUUUCCACAAGUUAAGCAUGUUUUCUGACCAUCAACGAGGAGAAACAUAUUACUUUAAAAGGAACUUUGACUAAUAUUCCUCCAAGGCCAGCAU